rnacentral:rRNA from 1 species
ACCAGACUCCUACGGGAGGCAGCAGUGGGGAAUAUUGCACAAUGGGGGAAACCCUGAUGCAGCGACGCCGCGUGAGUGAAGAAGUAUUUCGGUAUGUAAAGCUCUAUCAGCAGGAACGAGACAAGACGGUACCUGACUAAGAAGCCCCGGCUAACUACGUGCCAGCAGCCGCGGUAAUACGUAGGGGGCAAGCGUUAUCCGGAAUCACUGGGUGUAAAGGGAGCGUAGACGGCUGUGCAAGCCUGAAGUGAAAGGCGGGGGCCCAACCCCUGGACUGCUUUGGGAACUGUACGGCUGGAGUGCAGGAGAGGUAAGUGGAAUUCCUAGUGUAGCGGUGAAAUGCGUAGAUAUUAGGAGGAACACCAGUGGCGAAGGCGGCUUACUGGACUGUAACUGACGUUGAGGCUCGAAAGCGUGGGGAGCAAACAGGAUUAGAUACCCCGGUACGA